GAGUUUGAUCCUGGCUCAGAAUGAACGUUGGCGGCGUGGAUUAGGCAUGCAAGUCGUGCGAGAAGCCUCCUUCGGGGGGUGGAAAGCGGCGAAAGGGAGAGUAACGUGUGGAUCACCUACCCCCGGGCCCGGGAUAGCUGCGGGAAACUGCAGGUAAUACCGGAUAACGUCCCCGGACCAAAGGUGCGAUUCCGCCUGGGGAUGGGUCCACAUCCUAUUAGCUUGUUGGUGGGGUAACGGCCUACCAAGGCGACGAUGGGUACGGGGUGUGAGAGCAUGUCCCCGCUCACUGGGACUGAGACACUGCCCAGACACCUACGGGUGGCUGCAGUCGAGAAUCUUCGGCAAUGGGCGCAAGCCUGACCGAGCGACGCCGCGUGCGGGAUGAAGGCCUUCGGGUUGUAGACCGCUGUCAGUGGGGAGGAACUCCACGGGGGCUCUCCCUCGUGGUUGACCUAUCCGCAGAGGAAGGACGGGCUAAGUUCGUGCCAGCAGCCGCGGUAAGACGAACCGUCCAAACGUUAUUCGGAAUCACUGGGCUUAAAGGGUGCGUAGGCGGCCCCGCAAGUUGGGUGUGAAAGCCCUCGGCUUAACCGAGGAACGGCGCCCAAAACUGCAGGGCUUGAGGAAGGCAGAGGUGAGCGGAACUUGCGGUGGAGCGGUGAAAUGCGUUGAUAUCGCAAGGAACACCAGUAGCGAAAGCGGCUCACUGGGCCUUUACUGACGCUGAGGCACGAAAGCCAGGGGAGCGAACGGG
rnacentral:rRNA from 1 species